AUCGUAGUGUCUGCGUACUAUAUGAGCGCUCACGUGCACUUUCUGGUACCCGGUAUAGGAACAAUAUGGACAAUGGAACUUUUUCUCGCGCUGGCAUUCGAACUUCUUGUGCCGGUCCAGGUUUCGGGCAUGCUUGUACAUGCGACCACAAUCCAGGCAUUUGUGUUCAUUUGUGCGGCCUAAAAACGGGCGAAAAUUAGUUUAAAGUCGCAGGAAAAUUGUGAAAGAACUUCCUGGAAGAUGAUAAUGAGUAUCAAAGUUUUUUGAUGGCCUGAAUCGGUCAAUAUCGAAUAGGUUUCCCAUAAUUUUCCUUCGAAAACCUGUUUCCUUUUAGCUUGCUGGCAUACAGGCAUCCGACGAAUUGACAGAGGAAUUUCGGCCUCAUUCCACACUCGUACCGUUGAUGAUUGGCCAACGAGGUGUGAUAUUUGUACCGUUGACUGCAUUUAUCGCAUUUGUGUGGAGCUAAAACGAAAAAUGCGACCAUCAGUGAAGUGAACGCGAUUUCCCGAGAAUCUUCAGGUUGAUUUUCCGCAAAGAGUGCGAAAAAACCCUUGAAACCGUUUAUUGACUUUAUUAUAUUAGGCGUUACAAUAAUAUAUAUUUUUUUAAAUUAA